rnacentral:rRNA from 1 species
AACGAACGCUGGCGGCAUGCCUAACACAUGCAAGUCGAACGAGAUCUUCGGGUCUAGUGGCGCACGGGUGCGUAACGCGUGGGAAUCUGCCCUUUGGUUCGGAAUAACAGUUGGAAACGACUGCUAAUACCGGAUGAUGACGAAAGUCCAAAGAUUUAUCGCCAGAGGAUGAGCCCGCGUAGGAUUAGCCAGUUGGUAUGGUAAAGGCGCGCCAAGGCGACGAUCCUUAGCUGGUCUGAGAGGAUGAUCAGCCACACUGGGACUGAGACACGGCCCAGACUCCUACGGGAGGCAGCAGUGGGGAAUAUUGGACAAUGGGCGAAAGCCUGAUCCAGCAAUGCCGCGUGAGUGAUGAGGGCCUUAGGGUUGUAAAGCUCUUUUACCCGGGAUGAUAAUGACAGUACCGGGAGAAUAAGCUCCGGCUAACUCCGUGCCAGCCGCCGCGGUAA